rnacentral:rRNA from 1 species
UACGAAGGGGGCUAGCGUUGUUCGGAAUUAUUGGGCGUAAAGAGCUCGUAGGCGGUUUGUCGCGUCUGCUGUGAAAACUGGAGGCUCAACCUCCAGCCUGCAGUGGGUACGGGCAAACUAGAGUGCGGUAGGGGAGAUUGGAAUUCCUGGUGUAGCGGUGGAAUGCGCAGAUAUCAGGAGGAACACCGAUGGCGAAGGCAGAUCUCUGGGCCGUAACUGACGCUGAGACGCGAAAGCGUGGGGAGCGAACAGG